rnacentral:sRNA from 1 species
GCUGGGUGCAGUGGCGCACGCCUGUAAUCCCAGCAGCUUGGAAGUUUGAGUCAGGAGAAUCGUGAGUUCAAAGCCAGACUCAGCAACGGUGAGGCACUAAGCAACUCAGUGAGACCCUGUCUCAA